CCUACGGGAGGCAGCAGUGAGGAAUAUUGGUCAAUGGACGAGAGUCUGAACCAGCCAAGUAGCGUGAAGGAUGACUGCCCUAUGGGUUGUAAACUUCUUUUAUAUGGGAAUAAAACGUUCCACGUGUGGGAUUUUGUAUGUACCAUAUGAAUAAGGAUCGACUAACUCCGUGCCAGCAGCCGCGGUAAUACGGAGGAUCCGAGCGUUAUCCGGAUUUAUUGGGUUUAAAGGGAGCGUAGGUGGAUUGUUAAGUCAGUUGUGAAAGUUUGCGGCUCAACCGUAAAAUUGCAGUUGAAACUGGCAGUCUUGAGUACAGUAGAGGUGGGCGGAAUUCGUGGUGUAGCGGUGAAAUGCUUAGAUAUCACGAAGAACUCCGAUUGCGAAGGCAGUUCACUGGACUGCAACUGACACUGAGGCUCGAAAGUGUGGGUAUCAAACAGGAUUAGAUACCCCAGUAGUC
rnacentral:rRNA from 1 species